GCAGAGCAGGGCGGAGAGAGGAGGGAGAGGCCCGCCAGUAUCUCUGCUCUCUGCCUGUCUCUGGCUUCCCCUCACCUCUCCUCCCCCGGCGCGAGGCAGGAGGCCAAUUGUAGACUUUUAGAUGCGUAAGAGACCCAAGUUCCCCCUCCUACGUUUAUUCAUUUUAUUUUAUUUCUUAAUGAGACACAGCACAGAGAGGUGAAGGGGCUUUUCCAAGGUCACACAGCCAGUUAGAGGCUGAGCCAAGAGUAAAAUUUGGUGUCCAUUGCUGUAGUAGAUCUACACCUGGAAUGCAGCCCUUUAGCUCUGCUGCUCCUGAGUCCCUCUAUCCCUUCUUCCUCCUCUACCUCGCCUUCCUGCCUGGGCAUUUUUAAAUAACAACUUUAUUGAGGCGUAAUUCACAUAUUUGCCCCUUUAAAGUCUACAAUUCAAGGUUUUUUUGGUAUGUGGAGAGUUGUGCACCCACAUCAGUUUCAAACCGCUUUCAUCACCCCAAAAAGAAACCCUGUACCCAUUAGCAGUUGCUCCCCAUUCCACCCACCCCACCCCUGGUCCCCCAGCCCUAGGAAACCAUUAAUCUCUAGAUCUGCUGCCUUUUCUGCACAUUUCAUAUAAACGGAAUCAUACAACGUGCAGCCCUUUGUGACUAGCUUCUUCCACUUAGAUUGUCUUCCAGGUUCAUCUAUGUUGUAGCCCUCCAGAUCAGAGCGUCGUUCUGGUCCCAGUAGGCAGAAUAAAGAGGCAGAAGGAAGAAUGAGAAAGAGAAUCCUGAGGGUCCGAGCACAGCGGCACAAUGAAAUGAAGUGCUACCUCUAAUAGCAAAGGAAGAAAAAGACCUACAUGUCCAGGGGAGGGGGCUGGAUAAAGUGUGACACAUCGAUGCGGUGGCUGCAGCUGUAAAACAGCCUGUCGGGAAAUCAGGUGCAUCCAGUGAAGAAAAGCCAUGUGCAGUGUCGAUCACCCUAACGAAGUUGCUAUCACCAUUCACACAGUCGUCCCAGAUAGUCCUGGGACCCGAGAAAUAGCUCACCUCUCCAUUCCCAUCACCUGACUCGUUCCAGCUGCCACUAUCUGGGGGACAACAGAAGAGCAACCUGAUCUUUGUUAAUCUGAUUAAGAAGGUGAGCCUGGGUCUACCUCCUGC